GAAUCACACAGGCGCAGUCAUUUAAGCUUUUAGGUGUGACAAUUUGUGUUAAUCAUGUUAAUUUUAUAAAUUUAGAAACAAAGGACUUUCCCGGCAAAAAUCACUAUGAAGUAUAGUGUAUUAGCAAAAAUGUGAAAAGUAUUACACACCUACGAGAACGUUUUGCUGACAUAUUUUCAACAGUUAUUCAAAAAUAGAAAAGCUUCUUGUAUGUGGUCGUAUUAGUGGAUGUUACGAAGAGAUUUGUCUGUCCAUCAAGAAGUUCAAUAUUAGCAAACACAUACAGCUGGUUGCAUUUCUGAAACGCACGUCUAACGGAUAUGGGCCUAAAAAGUCCAAAAUAUCUACCUAACAGAAUAUUCAAAAUUUAUAUUAGCAGUAGAAGAUAAAACGUUUUUAAUAAUAAAUGUAGGAAAACUCAG